GAGUUUGAUCUUGGCUCAGAACGAACGCUGGCGGCAUGCCUAACACAUGCAAGUCGAACGGGAUCCUGGCUUCGGUCAGGUGAGAGUGGCGGACGGGUGAGUAACGCGUGGGAACCUGCCCAGUGGUGGGGGAUAACCGCGGGGAAACUGCGGCUAAUACCGAAUGCCCUCGUGAGAGGAAAGAUUUAUCGCCAGAAGAGGAGCCCGCGUCCGAUUAGGUAGUUGGUGGGGUAAAGGCCUACCAAGCCGACGAUCGGUAGCUGGUCUGAGAGGAUGAUCAGCCACACUGGGACUGAGAUACGGCCCAGACUCCUACGGGAGGCAGCAGUGGGGAAUAUUGGACAAUGGGGGCAACCCUGAUCCAGCAAUGCCGCGUGAGUGAUGAAGGCCUUAGGGUUGUAAAGCUCUUUUGCCAGGGAAGAUGAUGAC
rnacentral:rRNA from 1 species